UGAUUAUAGUUCUAUAGGAACAAUUGGGCUUUUUCAAACCAAAGGAAAGGACUUGCAUGCAAAGACUUAAUAAAGAAUUAAAAUACAGACAGAUGACAUCAUUUACUAACAUUGCUUGGUAAAGCACCAGGCAACGAAUACACGUCUUAUUGUAGAGUUCAUCUUUUUUUUGCUUGGUGACAUAAUGCUAACCAUACUAUUCAUAUGUUGCAAGUGCAGCAUUAGUAGAGCUCCCUUUUUGUUCAAACUUUAAAACAAAGAAAACUGCAUUUACAAACUGUAUUGUUCUAGCCUAAACAAAGUAAGUAGUCUUACCGGUAACUAUCAUAUUGUACUGUAACUAAGUAUUGUGCUGUAAUAUUACUAUUUUCCUCUGUUUAUCUUGUUUAGUUUUUCUUAUGUAUAUUGUGUCUAUAAAUGAAUUAAAAAAAGAUGAGUGAAAUAAACUAAGCAAAGCUUUCUUCUUAUUAGCCUUAUUAAUGGCUAAGUGAAGUCUACAGAUCUGGACAAAAGCUUUUUUAUUUAACUAUUUUCCUGAGGCAUGCUCAUAUACUAAAUAAAAUAUCUCCAAAUGAACUGUGAACCAUGCACUGAAUGUAUUCCUGUCUUAUUUUUUCACUUGCAGUAUGAAUUUUUAUGUAAGACUGCCCAAAAAUAUUCAGUUGCAUCCAAAAACAUAAACAAGGCAGUGGACAUUUCAGACCAUUUCACUUUAAAAAUAGUUGUUCCAAACACAGUGAAGCAGCAAGUUAGAUCUUUGCUUUCAAGAAUUUGGGGAGAAAUGCUACAGCUAGACAUUUUACUCAAGAAUUUAAGUUCCAUGAAUGUGACUUUAUGAAGGCAAAAGGUUGGAAGAGGAUGGAACUUUGGAAAUGCACGCAGUUUACAAGAACAAAUGGACAUUACAGAUUUUUCACCAAUGACAAGACCAAAGAAUGCUUAAUAUUUGCACCAUUGAGCCAGGUGGACUAUUUCUAGGUGAAAACAUUGGUGUGGAUGUGCAAGAGUUGACUGAAAGCAGUUCAGUAUUUCAAAGUGUAACUUUCAAUAACUGUAAUAUUGAAGUCAUUACAAAUUCUAUAAACUGCAAUAAUAUGUGAAUUACCCAACUAUUCUGUUACAAUCUUUGAAGGAAAUAAACUUUUGUUGUCUGCAUGGGACUUUAUUUGGUUGGAAUUAAUUUAUUCAUGUCACAGGAUUUUUCUGGAAUCAAUAGACACUUGGAUAUUGUGUCCAAAUCUUUAAAGAUUUUGAUACGAUAUUCAAAUCUUAAAAGAAUUUCAUCUCCUUGGGUGUCCAAAUGCAUCCGCUGUGAUGCAGUAUAUAGUUGUUGAUCGGUGCAGAGGGCUUAAGUUAUGAAUUAUUAUUGAGUUUGAGAAGUAUUGUUGUUGAGUCCUGUCAUUCAAUCCAGCGUUCUCACUAUCCAAUGCAUUAAGGUGAAUUGUGAGUUAUGCCAUCACAUAUGAAAGGCUGCUCAGCUUCUCAAACUCAUUAAUAAUUCAUAACUAAAGGUGAUCAUCCAACCAAGACAUGCCAAUUUCAUCACGUGCUUUGAAACCCCAGUGAAACACU
rnacentral:lncRNA from 1 species